UACGUAGGGUGCAAGCGUUGUCCGGAAUUAUUGGGCGUAAAGAGCUCGUAGGCGGUCUGUCACGUCGGCUGUGAAAACCCGGGGCUCAACCCCGGGCCUGCAGUCGAUACGGGCAGACUAGAGUGCGGUAGGGGAGACUGGAAUUCCUGGUGUAGCGGUGAAAUGCGCAGAUAUCAGGAGGAACACCGGUGGCGAAGGCGGGUCUCUGGGCCGAUAUUGACGCUGAGGAGCGAAAGCGUGGGGAGCGAACAGG
rnacentral:rRNA from 1 species